rnacentral:rRNA from 1 species
UACGGAGGUUGCAAGCGUUACUCGGUGUUACUGGGUGUAAAGGGUCCGCAGGCGGUUAAAUAAGUAAGAGGUGAAAUCUCCCGGCUCAACUGGGAAACUGCCCCUUAUACUGUUUAACUAGAGGGCAAGAGAGGAAAGCAGAACUGUCAGUGUAAGGGUGAAAUCUGUGGAUAUUGACAGGAAUGUCAGUGGCGAAGGCGGCUUUCUGGAUUGUUUCUGACGCUCAGGGACGAAAGUUAGGGGAGCAAACAGGAUUAGAUACCCCCGUA